UCUAUUAUAGUGUUUCCGCACAUAAAAAUUUGAUUUUUAAAGUGAUUUAAUAAUCUAAUAGAA
rnacentral:tRNA from 1 species